rnacentral:sRNA from 1 species
UAUUCUAAUACAAUUGAGAAAAAGAGAAAAUCAAUGACCCCAUCCCUGCUCCAACUCGUACAUCCUUAUCCUCAAUUUGGAUGGUUCUUUGUUUUCUGCGGGUAGAGAAGAAGAGGACAAGGCUAACUCCUGACCUUUCAGGUCCCCUCGUCCGUGCAUCAGCAGACUGGACCCAUGCACAUUCAGCCUUUGUUCAUGUUUUCAAUAACAAAGUUUGUGUCCUAAUCCAGCACAGCUGUGUGCCAGGCCAAGACGCUGAUAAGCAAUGUCUAUCACUCAGGGCAUUCACUGACAAUAUUGGUUUCUAACAGGAUGAACAGCGAGCUCGAGCUUGGAGGACACGUAUUUAUCCUUUGGGAAAAUUUUUGGAGACUUUCUACUGAAUAGUUUUACAUUGUUGCAAAAGAUUCUUCCACAGACAAUGUGUAAAAGCUGACGCUCCUCCCCCCAAACCCCCACCCCCGAGAUUAGCUUGUGGAGGGAGGCAAGGUUGUUACCCUGCACAGAGUCUCUCUUUUGCCUUCAUCCUCCUGGGGAAAGCUUGUCCCUCACCCCCAUGUCCCCCUUUACCAACAGAGUGAACCGCGUCUCUGGAAAACAUGACCUACAUUUAGCACCGACACUCCUGGUUAGCCAUUCUUCCUCUAUUAAAAAUCUCUUUAGUCACGUUGAAUGUACUCAUAAGCGCUUCUAAUUUGCUCAUAUAUCAGACAGAAAAGAUGAGGUUACAGCUGCAGUAAUAACUCAGAAGGCGAGGGCAUGUUUAAUAUGUGUGCUGGCUGUUGUUUGUGGCUCAUCUGAGCUCUGUUCAUUGUUCUCAUGGAGACCCAGCCUAGAAAUUGCUGCCAUCUUAAAGAUCACCAGCAGCUGCCGUACAGAGGGAAAGGAGACCUAACCUGGGGUGGGGGAGGCAACAGGUGGAGCUAGGUGCCCUGUAGGCCACUGGCUGGGAGUACUUGGAGUUGGUACUAAUUAAGCCACACUUCCGUCACACUGGGCAGUGGUGUGGCUCAUUCUCCAUGCGUUGUCUCCAUGUUCACUUGCGCUCUCAUGAGGAACACCCCAACACAUGCAUGAACCACUCAUCCUUCACCAGAAUCUCCACCUUUAAGGGGAGGGGUGGAAGACAGCCCCUCCUGAGAGCCCCGGUCAGGAAACUAAGUGUUAAACUAAUCAAGAACAUAUUGUUUAUUUCUUGGUGUGGGCGCCCACAUACUUUAGGAGUUAAAAACUCAGACUCAUGAUGGGGACAAGGGAGGCGAAUUGAUUAAAAUACAUCACAAACAUGCACAAAACAGUCAAAGACUAAUUUUAAAAAGAGAAAAAAUUUUUAGACAGCACAGCUGUUUGUCCUAGGCAUUGGAUGCAACGUUGGCACAUGUGAUCGAGGGAGGUCUCUUGCUUUGUCCCUGGGGGGCUUUUCUCACAUCCGUGACCCAGUGUUGCUCCAUAUCAAGCCACAGCCACACUGGUGGCUGCUCGCCACGCUUUUGUUUCCAAUGGCUCCCAUGUUGGUUUUCAGGCCCUGGGGGCGGGAUGAGUUUGCUGUCGGUUCUGGUUGUUUGUUCAGCGUCACCAGCAGGUCUCUGCUUUUCUGGACCCCUUCUUCAUCCCUUUUUAUCCAUUUCUAGUCCAUCAGUCCCUAAGGACACCUGACCACCACCUUUGCACAGCACCAUGUGCCCUGAGUGCAGAGGGUUUCCUCCAUGGCCUUUUCUGCACCUGCCGUUUGUUUCUCGAGACACAGCAGCGGGCUAUGCUCACUGGGUUGCCAACGCCGAUCUCUAACUGGUGGGUUCCAUCCAGCUGUCUUCCUCUCAGUGACAAGCAGUGACAGAACAAAGGCGCAACCCCCCACCCCACACUCACCUUUCUAGCUGCUUCUUCCCUGCUGAGGCUCUCUCCAAGGCUUACCUACACAACAUUCACGUUCUUCAACAUUCCCCCGCUUUGCCCUCCCUUAGUACGAUCCAGCUUAUUUUCAAGACCAAAAGCAUGGCCACAACCAGAGUCACUUCCCUUUCUUAGUAUAUCCAGUGGCCUGUUGGACGCAGUGUGUCCAGCUCCAGAAUUAGCUUAUGUAGACCCCGACUCAUUGCUUCUAGCUCAGAACUGAUUUGUCUCCGUUAAUUACAGGUAUUGCCUAAUACCAUCAUGGACCCGGUCACUCAGACAGGAAGCACGGUCUCUCUUUCCAACCCCUCUUCUCUUGCCCUGUACCUCAUCCACCUUUAGGAGUUAGGUCCUCAUCACUCAUGCCUUUGAGCAGUCAGUAAUGUCUUGAUGUGGACAUCAAGACAAAGACUCGCAUGUGUGUCAAGUGGAGUGAGUACAGUUGUGAUUAGGAUGGAAAAGGCCCCACCCCCCAUGGAGCGUUUGUUCAUACAUCAAAGGCAGAGAGCACAUAAACAUGUAGUGCUGGAGAGCUCCAAGCAUUACAGUGACACCGCCUCCUAGCGGUGGCUUUUGUAAUUUGCAGGCUUAGUUUUUGGGAAACGUGAACGAAUGCUCCUGAAACAUUCCAUCUGUUCUUACACCCGAGGACCAGGAAAUGGCACACUGUAACUACUUCAGCUAUUUAAAAUGCUGUUCCCUUUAACUGGCUACACUUGGAGUUAUAAAACCAUAGCUCAGUCGUGCCAUGAACAACUUCCCUUGGGGGACAGAGGUAGGCAUGGACCUACCUCUUGCCAAGUGAACCAACUUUAUCACACCUGCCCCAGUAGAUAGGUUCUGCCCAAGGAUGUUGGCUCUUUUGUGUCCCCUGAACAGAAACAUGAGUCUUUGUCUUGAUGUCCACAUCUUUAAAAGAUUUCAGCGGUGCUAACGUGGGUCCAUGGGAACUGCUCCUCUCUGGUUUUCAGCCUCCUGCCUUACUUUGGUGUGUGUUUCUGGGGAGGCCAGGGCACCACUGGCAGUCAUGGGUUUCAUCGUAACUGUUCCAGCCUAACUCUCAGUCUGUCACUCGUAGAAAUGCCAGGUGCUGUAGAAUUAUCCCUUCUCCUGGCCCGGCAGCCAUUCUGAACCCAGCACAGUUCAGGGUUAGAGACUGCCAGGUGUAGUCAGCCACAAACGGUGACUUCAUCUUGCCAAUGUCUUGGACUUAGGGGUUUCUCGCAGCUCACGUUCACUCGCAGCAGUAGCUCCUCCUGGACACGGGAGUGCUGUUGCAAACCUGCUGGAGCUGCUCUAUCAAAUGAGUGGCACAGAAGAUAGAAAUGAACUGACUGUGUGCUGUCCUGAGGCUGCCCUGGCUACACUGCUCUAGCAUGUGUCACCACGAAACCAUUUUAUGUGCCUAGGUUAUGAUGCCAAAUGAUCAUGUGGCUGUUUUGAGUCAUGUGCCCCCUGCAUUCAGUACAACUUUAAUUUUCUUAUCCAAAUAGAGACUGUCUUAUGGAUAUCUGGUGUUCCAAAACUCUACAGUGAAUAUCUAUAGCCUGUUGUAUAUUUUACUCUUAGUCAAAUGGAAUGUGGGAAAGAAGCCAGUUGAUUUUGAUUCAAAAUUUGUUUUAAUGUUCAUCUCACAAUAUUCUAAUGUCUCAAACACACCGGCUAUGCAGUAGGUGAUGUGGGAUGGGGUUAGCUGUGCAGUAGGUGAUGUGUGGAUGGGGUGGCUGUGCAGUAGGUGAUGUGUGGAUGGGGUGGCUGUGCAGUAGGUGAUGUGUGGAUGGGGUGGUUUGCGAUAGGUGAUGUGUGGAUGGGGUGGCUGUGCGGUAGGUGAUGUGGGAUGGGGUGGCUGUGCGGUAAGUGAUGUGUCGAUGGGGUGACUGUGUUCCAAUACAAUGUUGUUUACUGUAGCACCUAAUGGAUAGGGUUUACCACCUUUCUCUUUACAGCAUCUUCCAAACUUCCCUUCCCGGGGCAUUUUCUGCUACUGUAUAAGCUUCCUUUGUCUUUCCUGUGCUUUGUGAGUUAGGUUUCUAGACAAACUUAAAAUUGAAUAUUUUUGAGUUUUGAAUUGAAUAAAUCGAGUAUUGAAAUGGACUCAAGGUCCAUUGUUUUUUGGAGGGACAAAUAUAUAAUUAAAAUCUGUCACAGCUGUUUCUCCUAGGUGCCAUUGUCAUCCUAUGCAGCCUUGUGAUGUACCCAGUCCUGUUUUUUAUCAGCUGCAGACCACUCAACCCUGAAUUUAGAGAGCAGAAUAGCUCAGACCUGAGCUCACACCACUUGGCUGCCCAGCUCUUAGCCUCUGUGCUGUUACCUGCCAACUGUAAAAGGGGCUCCCCGGCCGUCCAGUCGCUCAGCCAUGCUCCACUCUCUACACCUCAGCACUUGUAUCUAAGCAACUGUCCCCAGUCACCCUGCAGCCUCCGUAAGCCACAACAUUCACCUCCGUGCUGGCCCAGCUUUUGUCACCUUGAUACAGCUUGGGUCAUCUGGGAAAGCAGAACGUAGGUUGAGAAAAUGUCUCUAGCAUAUUUGCCUGUGGGGCAGUGUCUUGAUUAAUGAUCGAUUUGAGAGGGCCCAGCCCACUGUGAGCAAUGCCAUCCUUGGGUAGUUGGUCCUGGGGUGUCUAAGAAAAGAACCCAAGCAAACCAGGAGGAACAGGCCAAUAGGCAGUGCUCCUCCAUGGCCUCUGCUUCAGCUCCCGCCUCCAGGUUCCUGCCUUUGCUUCCCUCGAUGGAUUCUGACUCAGAUAUGAAAGCCAUAUAACCUCUUUCCUCCACACACUGCUUUUGGUCAUGGCCUUUUUCACAACAGUAGCAAGUAAACUAAGACGACCUCCAACUCUGUUGGCACAAGUAACUCUCCAUGUGGUUCAGAUGACAGAGUGGCACCUCUAGUGGCAAGUGUCUCUUUAGAAUUAUGCAUUGGGCUGGCACUGGUGGCACACGUGUUUAAUCCCAGCACUUGAGAGGCACAGGCAGGUAGACCUAUGUGAUUUCAAGAUAAGCCUGGUCUACAGAGCAAGUUCCAGGACAGUCGGAGCUAAAGAAACCCCGUCUCAACUACCCUCCCCCCCGUCGCAUUAUGUAGUAGAAUGUAUAAGUGACUCCAUUCAGCCUAGGAGCCGAAGUGUCUGUGGUAGGGAGCAUGUGCUUUUAAUGUUUAAGGUAGUUUGCUUCAGUUAAGGGCCAACCUCUGAUUGAUCCAUCACGUGACUGAGCGUUUAAACUUUUGAAUCUGAGUUAAGACCCUUACCUCUGUUAAUAAUAUUAACAUUGACAUACCCUCACACAAACAUGAAUGCAUGCACAUGUGUGUGUACACGGCACAGACAUACAGAAUGAAAAUACGAAGAGAAUAAGGAGACUAUAUUUACAAUCUUGAGAGAAAAGGAGCAUUUUGAAUUAUGAGAAAAAAAAAGAUUUAGAAUGACAGAAUGGUCUUUUUACGUGUGUCUUCCAGAGCACUGCAGAGGGUACCUUCACACUGAAGUUAGCAUGUGAGGUACCUGGGCCAUGGCUGUCUGGUAGAAUUCUAGAUAUGGCAGAGUGGUGUGCAUUACAGACCACAGUUCACAGUUUCCUCAGAGAGAGUAUUUCAAGAGAAUGUCUACAGCUGUCUUCCAGGACUAAGCUUUGCCUCUCACGGCCAUUAGGCCGUUUUCUUUUAUGUCCAGAAUGAGUUCCUUAGGUGUGCGCCAAUUAAAAAUGUCUCUAAGUGGCUGAGAGUCCUUGAUUCAGUGACAGGAGAAGUGAAACCCACUCUGAGAAAUUGUGCUCUGGUCUCAAAAAGGUGGAGUGACCGUAGGGUCUCCAGGCCUGACCUCUGAGGUAAUAUCUCAGAAUCGAGUCUUCAGUAAAAUAGAUAAACUGUCUUUCUCCAGUCCCUCGAGCUGGAGGCACAUCCAAGCUCUGAUUCUGCUGGGUGGAUAUUUGCUGUGGAGGGCUUCCUGUCUCUGUGACUGCUCAGGCAGCUGUGAGAGCGCGCAGCCUGCCCGAGGGGAAAGGAGGGAUGGUGCAGCCUGUUCUGGCACCAUCCUGGUAGAGGCGCUGACCUCCUGCCCCUGACCUCGAGAAAUUCAUCAGCUCCCCGGAGACUGUAAGACAUUAUCUCACUCAGCCCUCUGGCUCCAAGUAGGAAUUCACUUAAGUUAUCUCUGCAGAGAAAUGUCUUCAUGUUCAACCUGCAUGAUUAAAAAAUAGUUUUAAAUUUAAAAAAAAUUACUCACGGGGGAUUUAGUGAUACCUUUUCCUAAGAUCUUCAGGGCCGGCAGGUCACUUGGUGCUGUGAGAAGUGAUCGUGGUGAUACGGAUAAUUGGAGCUUACAUGGAGUGAGUGUUCUCUGUGCCAGAUAGGGAAACAAGGGCAUUAUCUUUUCACUUACUUAAUCCUCAGAGCCUCCCGGGGCAGAGCCUGCUCUUGCCCUCCUUUUGCAAAUGUGGGAAUGCAGAAUCAAAUCCUCCAUGUAACUGUGGUGUCAGGGUUAGAACCCUGGGCUGUCAUUCUCCAACCACGGCGUUCCUGAUCUCCAUGUACUUCUGCCCUCCUCCUUGUCUUGCUGUCCUGCUUCUCUUUGGGGGAUAAGUUAUUAGGAUACGUAAAGAAUCAUAGACAAAUCUCGAGGCUUACAGAAUUAAAAUAAUCCUCUGGUCCUGCCUAUCGUGAAUUGACACGUGCAGUCUCCCUGACUGGAAACACUCACACUGUGAAGCUAAUCCAAAAGCAGCCUGAAGCGUAGCUGUGCCCCGUCCCCAUCUCCAGUGCCCCUCACACCUUUCUAUUCCACCCGUCCUUCCCAGGAUGAGAAGCAGGAGGAAUGGAAGCAGGAGGAAACAGACCUGUUAGCAAACUCUGGUUUGAAUUAAGUGUGGUCCUUUGCGCACUGCCCGGAGAACAGAGAUCCUGCAGCUUGAGAAGGUGCGGAGUCUUUCUCCCUCCCCACCUGUGUGUCAGCAGAAAGCCCACACUGGGGCUUCCGUGUUUGAUUUGUGGAGGACAGAGCUGUAACCAACACUGGGGGUCACGUUCCAAGGCCCUUUCUUCCCUUUUUACUAACUCCCGAAACAGAGUGACCCGCUUAUGUCAUGGCUCGUGUUUUGACUGCUGUGUCUGGCAUCCCGGAGCAUUGCAAGUGUCUCAUUUUAAAUUUUAAUGUCUCCCUUAAUUUAGGAGUACCUCUGGAACUGACUCAUUUUUCCAUGUCGAACCAGAGCCUGAGAAAGUUGUGGAGAUUAAAGUAAAUUCAGCCCCCAGCCUGGCCCCUGAUCUCAAGGCUGGCUACAGUGAGAACUGUCAGGGAGAUAGAUGGGGGCGCUAAGGUUUCCUGCCGUCUUCAGCCGUGUGUGGGUACCACAUGUGUUGUGUUCAGUGAAUACAAAUACAAGAACACAUGCUGUUCCCAUUAGGGACACUUCAGACCCUUCUGUCCCCAGCCUUACUGCAGAAUCGAAGGGGUCAUUCAUCACAGGCCACUUACCAAUCCUGACUGGGCUUUAAGCCCUUGUACACAUAAGCAGCAAGCAGUGUGCCCAGGCCCUUUUGGGGGAUGGGGGGUGUCACAUGACAAUGCUGUUUCCCUGCCUUCUGCAAGUUCAUUUGCAGGGAAGUAGCCGCUCACUGGUUACUUCUCCAGGGCUCUGCACACCCGACCGUGUGUCCAUUCUGCCGAGAUUUUCAGGUAAUUAGUGACAGUGUGACACACGCACUGUGGGAGUGCCUUGCCCAUUUCUGCUGCCUACAGAAGGCUAACCUGCCUCCAGUCCUACAUACGUGUAGUUGUUGGCCUUCUGUGUCCUGUUCAUUCCCUCUGUUGACAGGGUCUCGCCCUCCCACUUUGUCAAGCUAAAGCAUUCAUUUUAUAAGACUUAGGGCCUUCACACCCGGUCCUUUUCAUUUCUCCUCGCACAGUCUCACCAAGCUCUUACUAUACCAGCCUCCAUCUGUGUGUGCGGCCCCAGGGCAACACUUUGCUGCCCUCUGUCCUGUGAGCUCGGGGCCUCAGGAAUGGGCAGCCAGCCCCAGAUGCCUUAUACUAGCAUCCUGGUACCAGAGCCCUGCACUUCCUGGCCUUGAGAAAGCUCACACAAGGAGGGCCGCCUAACAGAUAGACUGUCCCACCCGUCCUCCUCAGGAACUGUCACAGAGAUACCCCUUGCUGAAUGUUGACCCUGGAAGCCUAGCAGACACCCAGAGACCGGGCCACACACUCUUAACACCGUAAGGGUGCUGGCAUCUUGGCUCCCUACACGUCCUGCUUAGCUGGAAGUGUUCGUGCUCAGCCUAGCACUAGUGGUGUUGACUACUACCUCCUACCCUGCAGCGUCAUGUCCAGGGGCUGCCAUUUUCCUGGCCAGGCAUGGGGCUGAGCAGUCUGCUUCCUUUCAAAGACGAAUUUCCACUGAAGUCUGGUGCAGCAUAGCCGGCCGACCAUCCUGUCUGAUUUUUCUCAUCUGUGAUAAUUGGUCUUUCUGCUUCUUGGCAUUUUAUCAUAAGACCAGUAACACAGUGAGAAAAACAGGAGCUCUGAGGUCACUGGAAUGAAGACACCACAGCAAUUAUGAGAUUGCCGUUUUGCCUGCUGCUCGUUUCUGCAGAUCCCUGUUUUCCUCAUUUGAGUGUAGGGAGAGUUCCUGUGUCUUCGGUGCCGAGGAGAUCUGGCGGGAUAACUUAGUGCCAUCCCCACGUGCUGUCUGUGCUGGAGUGGAACACAGACACAGACACACACACACACAUACACACACACACGAAACACGUAGCAAUACGAAGUCAUUCCAGGAGAGGUCACAUGAGGAGCCUUGCAGGAGCCGCAGGCGUCCGGGUCACAGCACCCACAGCACACUUGCUGGAUGUCACAAUCCAUUCCAGACCUGGAGUGCCUGUGCGUUAGAGCUCACACCGUCUUCAAACCUACACGUGGGUAGAACAUUCAGUUUCCUUUGUAUCCAAAGGUCAAAUGGCCUCCUCACUAGGUGGCAAGUGUGAACACAUCCCUUACAUCCAGGCGCUGAGGCUUUUCUCUUGCUUUAUAGUGCUUCAUUUAGCAGAGGCGGGUGUGGGUCGUGUAAGGAAGGUAUAGUGUAUGCUCUCACACACACACACCUGGGGGCACAGUGCUGACACCUGCACAGUGCUGAAGUAUCCUGGCAGCUUGAUAAAAGAUCACAGGAAGCAUCCUGACAGGGUGACAGGGUGACAGCAUGCUGAGACACAGGCAUGUUGGUCAAGGGCUUUCCCAGCAUGAAUCCCCGGGUUCCGUCUUCUGUCCUAUAUAAAUCAUUGAUGGCACAUGCUUGCAAUCUGGUCUCUGCUGCAAAAGUCAGAGACCAGAAGUUCAAGGUCACCCUUGUCUAUGCAGCAAGUUGAAGGCCAGUGUGGCACACAUGAGACCCUGUGGGUUAUGAAUGAGGAUGCAGAGAGGAAACAUAACCAUGAUUAUAUUGUCAUUGUCCUGCUGAUCUCAAGAGGAGGUUACUAUUGGGGGCGCUGAGACUGAAGCCUGGCUCUGAAAGGUCUUGCUGGCCAGGUUAAAGACCUUGGAUUUCCUUCUCUGUAGCAUGGCGGAAGGGCGAGGUGUUAGCAUUACCCAGCACUCCAGACAAAAGCGCUGGGUGCUUGUGGUGUAUUUCACCGUUGCUUUUCUUUUUUAAAGAAAGCAUUUAGCACAUGCAGAGUGCUGAGGCUUAGAGAACUAUAAUUUUGACCAAAUAAAACUGGUUCGCUAUACAGUGACAUUUUCCUUUCUCUGGUGAUGUUUGCGGUCUUUGCCUAUGCAACAGCACAAGCUCGGGCCCCACCAUCCUACUCAUGUCAGAUUCUGUCUCUCCAUCCAUAAAACUGGGAAAUCGAAGCACCACUCACUGUAGCCAAGACAACUCUAGUAAUCAUCUACAGGUGAAUGACCAGAGACAAUGUGUCGUGUCUGCAUAGUGGCGUAUUGGUGUAAGAGUGAGUGAGAGUCAUUUAUGCUAACGUGAAGGGAACUGCGGGGAGGACA